rnacentral:tRNA from 1 species
GCCCGGUUAGCUCAAUCGGUAGAGCGUGAGACUCUUAAGGAUUCUCCGAAUAUCUCAAGGUUGCGGGUUCGACCCCCGCAUCGGGCU